GCGCGGAAAGAUGGCCCUGCCCUCAAGGAGCUGCAGUCUGCCCAGGAAGGCAGACAGAUAAAUUGCUAUAGUUUUCCACUAUUGAGCUGAAAUUUCACAUCACAAUCAAAAGUUACCUACCUACAACUCCCCAGUAGAGAAAAUUUAACUUUUGGCUUUAAAAAAGGGACAGAAAAGCAGGCAGAUCUGCAAGUAAGCAAACUACAGUUCCCCGCAGAAGACACAGAGGCAGUGAGUAAGGGGAACAGACCCAUGGCUCCACUGAAGACACAGAGCAGCAGAUGAGAAAGACACAUCCUAAAUGUUAAAGAAUGUGACAGAAUGAUACCAGGUGACUUCUAAGUCCACGUCAUACAAAGCAACGCAGCUUCUGCUGGGCUCUCCUUCUCUGGACAUGUAUCUUUGAAGCCCUGAGUCCGGCUUGCCUUAGCCCACCAGGGAUGGAGAAAUGCUACAGAAGCCCUAGCUAUUCUAGUCCCCAGCCAUCUGAGUCUUCCUAGCCCAGACUCGUAAGUGAAGAAGCCUUCAAGAUGAUUCAAAUACCACCUGUCACUUGACUACAACCUCGGAAAGCCCAAGUCAGAGCGGCACAGUGGAGCCAUUCCUAAAUUCUUGUCCCACAGAAACUGUGAAAGAUAAUAAAUGAUCAUCAUUGUUUUA